UGCAGCUGGGAAACCAGUAACAACCACCUCAUCCUACCCCCCAAGUUCCUCAGCACCAAGGUGGAACCCAGGCCUUCAAUGUGUAUUCAGAACAGGAGUGAGAAACUAAGACCCAGAAGACGAUCUAGACUCUGGUUUCCAGCAUCUGCAGUCAUAGUUUUUACCCAGAAGAGGAACAGCAGCUAAUGUGGAGUUAGCAAUUGACAUUGGGGACUUUAAAGGUAGGAGCAGCUCUAGUGACAACAGUCUGAAUUUGGAUACCUUGUGCGACCCAAGCCUCAGUUUUGACUCCAGCAGAUUGGAUUUAUGCUCGUACUGUAAUGGCAGUGGGGACAUUGACCAUCAGAAGCUGCAUCCUGCUUGGCUCAAUGUGUGCCAUCAUUUCCAUUGGAGGACAGAAAGGGCUCAAAGUUCUGCACAAAGCUUAGAGCAAAGUUAAUGCAAAACCCCGUCCAUCCUUCUUGACGUUGCACUCCGGACUUAUGCCAGGCCCACCAAUGUAGCAAGCAUUUCAUUGUGCCUAUUCAUUGGACUUCAUCUGGAGGCUGCCCCAUUGAAGGACUUACCUGAGUCACUGCAACAGAACUUGUGUGUGACCUCACUAGUGUGAACUGGCAUCUGCAUUUCCUUAUCAAGUGCCUUUUGAACAUCUAAAUGUACUACAUGUAUUAUCUGUUAUACC